UUCAUAUGCGAACUGGAGACGUUUUAUCUUGGUAACUGCAGAUAGCAAAGGUGUUUGAACAGGCCUUCGUCUUUCAUAUUCCAUACAAUGCAGUGUAAUGCUGAUUUGCCUACGAAUGUCAGGUGGUCAUAAUAAUCUGGCCACUCAGUGGGAGUGUGUGUGUGUGUGUGUGUGUGU